AAAAAUACACCCUCAUCUACCCAAUUCUGCCCUACCCUUUGGAGCUCCUGGACCCGCUGACAGCUCGGUGGGGUCAGAGCCCACCCCCGGAAGGGCCGCUGGUCAGGGACGGGUUCGCCCUCUCCUGGCCUCCUUGGACCAGCGCGCGGGGAGGAUCCCGGUAACGCCGGGCGCCUGCAGACCUUGAGUGGCCUCACCCUGGUGACCUCCCCGGGAAAAGCUGGGCCGUGCUUCCACACUGAGGGCCACUUGUUAAUUUGCACGAGAAAGUGCUGCCGAGGGCCCACACGUGUGAAUCCACCUGUGGAGUGCGUCCCCUCUCUGGGGGCAAGGCCUAGGGGAGGCCGAAGCGGAGAAGUUGCCGGAAGACUGGGAAGUAAGAGCAGGGGCGUCGGAGGAAUCGAAGUUGCAGUGACAUCAGGCUCGGACAUCCGGCGGACUCCUCUCAAGGCCUCAAACUUCUUCAUGGGAAAAAACGGCUUCUCUUUUUUAAUUGAAUGAACUAGAAGAAGUUCAUUGUUAUUCAUCAACUUCAAAGAGACUAUAUGAGGCCCCUUGGCCAGGACUACAGAGUAGUAUUUUUUAAUCAGAAAUUAUGGCCAAAAAGAAGAGGAGACCAGAACACAUGGCAGCCUGCAUGGACUAAGACAAGCUCAUUUGCUGGAAAGUCUUGAACUAAGUACUUGAAAAUACAAAGAUAAAUG
rnacentral:antisense_RNA from 1 species